GGCUGUGUAGCCUAGUGGUAGGUCGCUCGACUAAUAACUGAAGAGUGUCUGGUUCAAGCCCUCAGUGGAGCCU